ensembl:snoRNA
CGUGCACCCAAACCCAAAGGCCAUAUCAUGUCCGUGGUAUGAUUUUGUCUGGUGUGCAAACAGCAAACGGACCCUUGUCGCCUUUCUGUGUCUGCAGUGCCGCUGAAAGUGAAUCCAAGGGGCAACAGAU